rnacentral:rRNA from 1 species
UACGAAGGGGGCUAGCGUUGCUCGGAAUCACUGGGCGUAAAGCGCACGUAGGCGGAUCUUUUAAGUCAGGGGUGAAAUCCUGGAGCUCAACUCCAGAACUGCCUUUGAUACUGGGGAUCUCGAGUCCGGAAGAGGUGAGUGGAACUCCGAGUGUAGAGGUGAAAUUCGUAGAUAUUCGCAAGAACACCAGUGGCGAAGGCGGCUCACUGGCCCGGUACUGACGCUGAGGCACGAAAGCGUGGGGAGCAACAGG